rnacentral:lncRNA from 1 species
GCUUGAUAAAGGUGGAACUCUUCUUCUUUGGCGUAGGCCCUUGGUCAUAAAGGAUGUUAUUUCGAACUUAUCAAAAUGUUAACCCGUAGUCGUUCGAUCAAGGUCGAACUCUUCUUCUUUGGAGAAGGCCCUUGUCCUUAAACGGUGUUUAUUUCUAACUUGUAGAAAUAUUAACCCGUCGUCGUACGAUCAAGGUCGAACUCUUCUUCUUUGGCGAAGGCCCUUGGCCUUAAAGGGUGUCUUUUCGAAGUUAUCAAAAUGUUAACCCGUCGUCAUUCGAUCAAGGUCGAACUCUUCUUCUUUGGUGAAGGCCCUUGGCCUUAAAGUGUAUUAUUUCGAACUUGUCGAAAUGUUAACCCGUCGUCGUUCGAUCAAGGUUGAAUUC